rnacentral:lncRNA from 10 species
GUUUACUUUUAUCUCCUUAGUAGUCUGCCUUUCCCAGUAACACUCUGUCUGCCUCCACCAACCCACGGGAGCUAGGCCGAUGUCAUUGUCCACCUUGCUCCCCUCAGUGCCUAGGGCGGUUCCUGACCUGGAGCACACGCCGGUCAGAAACCACAAGGAUGUUUGAGCACGUUUUUAGAUCCCCUCCCCCAUCGGCAACUCCACCGCGCGAACUCCCAGAGGCCCGAGAGCCUCCCGCGUUGAGGAAAACGCUAUGUCCGUCUCAGAUUAGCCUCCUUUGCCAAGGAAACUCGCCAAGAAUCCCUGCGCAACCUGCGCUCUCGCUGUAGAGCAUACUAGGUGGUCUUUCUUUCUUUCUUUUUAGAAUCUUCUUGCUUUUCCCUGUAAGGCAGACCUUAAGGCCUUAAGGAUUGGAACUACAAUAACUGAUGUUUAACAGCAAGUCAGUGCCUAAGAGUUUGGUCUGUGGCCUUAAACGUGCCUUACUUAUUCGAACCAGAAGAGCAAAACAAACUUCCAAUUUAAGGCUUCUUUCCCUUACCCCCAGGCUUUUUGCAGGACCUUCCAGUUCACCUGGCUGGAGGAGGACCGUGAGCCUGGACAGUGGCACAAACCCCGUGCCCGCGCUCAUGCAGGCGCACCCUCAUACGCACACACUUGAACGCUUAGCAAGUCUUUUCCAAGGCUGUUCCCUCUUUCCGGGGAAAUAAAGCCUAGAUUGGAACCUUCUGCCCAGCUUCCUCAUUUGGCCGUCUGGUCUGCAUUAGUGUUUUUAUAAGGGACUCAAACAAAUCGAAUACAAGGUCACCAAAUAAUUAACAGUUGUGAAUUCCCUCCGUCCCCAUUAAAAUACUUCCCUGCUUAUAUUUCAUUUUCGGUUUGCCAACGACAACAGGGUACCGGCAAAAGCACUGCUGAGUUGAUUACACCACUCUGCGGCUCAGGUCCACCCAGAAACCCGCUGUUUUGCAUAACAUGAGGUACCAGAUGAACUUCAAUCGCGAGGGGACUAUGCAACUCUCUGAAUGCCCUCCCCGCAGCCGGGCUAUUCCCAGAAUGGUCCUGCUCUGCCCUUUGGUAAUCACGACCCAGAAGGUGAAUGGAGAAGCCAACAAACAAUCAGUGGCAAACUGUCCUGAGAGUUAUUUCUAGGGCAUCAAGUUCUUCAAGGAUGUUCCCAUCUCGUUUUGGUUUUUAUCUGUU